ACUUUUCCUGAAGCCACGUGCUUAGAGCGUGGAACGCAAUAGUGCUUGCGCCAUCAUGAUCUGUGACGUCAAUGAUGGAAUAGUGCACUAAUCCAUCAUUGACGUCACGGAAUAGCAAUUUUCUUCAGUGGGUGUUUCAUUUUCAACAUCAUCACAAAUUGGUGAGAAUAUGUUUGGUCACAUGAUGCUAAUUAAACCAAUCAGCAUACAGGAUUUAAUUUAUGUAGGAUAAAACACAAAAUGGAAAAUGGGCCAAAUGGCAACGAGACCAAACAGUUAUUAAAUACACUAUGAUUGGACCAUGCAGGAUGAGACCAAAUGCAAAAGUAGAAAGCAGUGAGUCAUAGACCAAUCAGGUAGUAACCAUGAUGAGUGAUCUUUAUUCCUUGGGAUUAUGGGAGACACUAUGAAUGUCAUCUGGAAAGGUUGACUAUGAUAAUAGUUAAGCUUUGAUGUUCAAUGUAAGCUUUUGGAAUCACCCAGAUCUGCCAAGAUUCACAUACAAUGUACACAGAAAUGUAUGUAAGGGACUACAAAGAACAUACAUGCUUGAUUCAAACAUGUCUUUUCUUUUUUAUUGGUCAUUUUUUAUUAAGAGCCAUUUCAAUGGAAAUUCUGUACAAUGGACCAUGGACCUUUUUUUACUUUAAUAUUAAUAUUCUUUUUACUCUAAUAUUCUUUAUGAAUCAUGGAGAGUUUAUGAAAUUCACAAAUAAUAUUGUUUUUUACUCUUGCCACAAACUUUUCUGUCAGCAUUAAUUCGAAACCACUAUAUUUGUCCAGCAACUUAUGUGGCAUGCUUAUUUGGCAAAAAUGGCUGCCAUUUGCAUACCUGAGACAACUGCUUCCAAUCACUCUUACGCCCAAUGAUUUUUGGUUGUCAUCUAUGAUGCAUUCUGCCAUCUCAUGAUAAAAGGAAGCAACUCGGUGGAAUGAGUUUCUUAGUAAAUGAGGAAAUUGUGUUAUUGUUUUAUGUGGAAAUAUAAGGAGAGUUACUUUCCUCUAUCUUCUAUAUUUUUCAUAUAUUUUUUAUUUACACCUCCAUGGUGUAAUCAAAUGGCCUGAAUUCACAAAGGUGAUUUUCAAUCUGUGGUUUAAAACCAUGGUUUAUUCAUAAGACUUAAUUCAGCAUGUAACCAGCUGCUAUUCAUGCCUGUUGCUAAGCUGUUAGCCAAACAUAAACAGUGGACUCAAUUAAUUAAAAAAAAUACAAUGGGCUCAUACAUUAAAAAAACAAUGGGCUCUAAAAACAUGAGCAAUCCUUUACUGGACUACCCUUGAUGCACAUAUGUCAUAUUUUUGAGAACAUGACUUUUUAAAAAAUUUUAACAAGCUUUUACCAAGCUUUAAUCAAACAUUUCAUCAUGCCACUCUUUGUCUUCUCAUUAAUUUGUUUUUUUUUGUUUCUAGGUUAAGUUUGCAUCGCUAUCAUAUUUUAACAAUCAUUAUGGAGUGGAAGCUUAUAAAAAAGGUUUCAUAUUUGUCUUAUUGUACAUAAGUGUUUUUUUUCUUUAUGAUCCUCUCUUCUGUAAUGUAUUUUUUUCAUCUGUAUAUUGAUUGGAUCACCAAAAGAAAAGAGAAGAAAACAGUAUUCUAAUUUUGUCAUAAGUGCCAAGUAUUAGUUUUGUAUUUUUAACCCUUAUUAAACUGGGGGAGGGGGGUCAAUUUGACCCCUCUCAACGAAUUUUGCCGCUUAGCUGCCGCGCAAAUUUUUGGACUGCAUCGCUUGCUGACUUUUACUUUCAAGUCUUGCGCAUCUUUUGAGACCAAAUUUACGACUCCCGGUUACGCGUUUUUCGAAAUUACAAAUACCCAAUAUUUUGUAAGAGCAUGUCGAUCCCAAAAUUGCUCAAAAACGUGUAUAAAGUCAAUGCAAAUUUUGUUUUUCAAUAAAAAAUCAUAAAUGUAUGAUUAUUUUUACUAUUGUUGGUUUAUGUGGAUUUAUUUUAUGUUGCUUAUGAUUGCAAAAGGGUCCCCGACAAAGUUUAUUGAAAAAACAAUGAAAAACAAAGGUUUGAAAAAAAAGAAAUACAUAAGAAUUAAAAAAGCAUUAAGAUAUAUAGGAAAUACAUUAUUUUUUUGCCAAUUUUUUUGUAGAUUUUUGUAAGAAAGAUAUGUUCACCUAAAAUUAGCAUUCUACUAGCUAUGUAAAGUGAGUUCAAGGCAAAAACAUACACAUAAACCCAAAUUAGGGCAAAUUUCAUACGCUUAUUUGGAUAAUUAAUAAAAUAUAUAACUUUAUAAGCAGUUAUUUUUUUGAAAAUUUUACUACACAGUCUUGUAGUUUAGAUCUAGCUCUAUGAGUGUGUAAAUUUUUGCGGUCAUCGCGCACCAACGGCCGAGAUCUGAGGGAUUGGGGGUCAUAUUGACCACCCCCCAGUAUAAUGGUAAGAAAGAGCCCAGUUAAGAUAGGGUUAAGCCGUAUUUUUUUACUUUGUUUAUUGAGAUGUACAGACAAAAGAUCAAUUUUAUUUGCUUUUUACAUUGAAAAU